rnacentral:lncRNA from 1 species
AUAUGCUUUUUCUGGCAGAAACAUAAUUCUUGAUAUGAAGUUAAUAAUUAAUCACUUUUUCCAAUACUUAUUUUUCCUUGUGAAAAUAAUUAAAAUAUUCACUGAAAACGCAUUUGUUAUCAAAUGUGAUAGUAUGUAUCGCAAGACUUCGCUAUGUGCAAGAUGUAUAGCAAGGGAAAGUCCAAUUCUAUUUUUAGCCAACGACUGGCCAUAUAUAG